GAGAGGCCGCGAGAAAGGGAAGAGACCAAGGAAGCCGCGAGAAGAAAACCGGAAUGAGGAUGGUGCGGUCGCUCCAAAAGCACCGGUUCCAACGACGAUGGUGACGAUAUGAAGGUUUGGGUUUUCUCCUUUUGUCUUUCUUUGUGUGUUUUUAAUGGUGUUAAUCUCCGGUCCCUCUUCUGUGUGCGUGUGUGUUUUUAAUUCAACUCCCUUUUUUUCUUUUUUGAAAUUGAUAAGGUGUUUUUAUAGAGUUUUUUAUGUGUUCAGUUGCUUUCUUUGUCUGCCUUGGUCCUUCUCUAUCUAUUUCCUGUUUAAUGUUUUGAUUGCCUUGCUCAUCAUCUGCGUUUUUUCUGCAUCCCUGAUGUAUUCAUGGUUUUGACUUAUCUGUUUUGAUCAGUUCUGUUGCUGAGCUUUAAUUUGUCUUUUAUUUUCUUUUUUUUAAACUCUAAAAGUUGUCUCUUUGUUCUGCACAAUGUAUACCAAGACUGAUUUAAAAAAAUUAUGUUUUUAUGUUUCUCAAUUCAGUUACAAAGCAAAGGUCAAUGACAACUACAUCUGAAACAGAAAGGCAGCAACACAAUAGAGCCAAGCACUGCAUCAGAAACAGAGAGGCAGAGAGGCAACAAC
rnacentral:lncRNA from 1 species